UGUGCACAAAUAAUCCAGUUGUAUUUGAAAACAAGAACCCUCCAAAGAGGUAUAGUAGGUACCUCCUAGUGUGUUGUAUUUUUACCUCCGGAGGAGAUUGUUCAUUGAAGUUAUUAUCGACCAGAUUAUCCUUUAACCACGACAAGGAGAGAGUAAAACCAUCAGUUUUGUGUGCCGGAGGAGUUAUUCCCAACAAAUGAGCACAAAGAUUCCACGGAAGAGUUGGAGGAGCCGUAACAAUUGAACCUCCAAAAGGUAAGCCGAGUAACAUAUAGACGUCUUCCAAAGUGAUAGUACACUCACCCGUUCGAAAGUGAAAAGUAUGGGUUUCGGACCGCCAUCUUUCUACAAGAGUGGUUACAAUGUGCCUAUCAAUUUUGUAACGCCCUAUUUGAGAAACCUCAAAAAAUCCAGCUUGACGUAGAUAAUCUUGAAUAAAAGGACUUGGUACUAUGUGUUGUCGUGUACGAGUGACAAGAGGUACACCCUCUGCAUCCUAACAAAAAAUAAAAAGAGAAGAUAUAAUAAGUAAUUUAAAAAAUGUAAGUAAAAUUAACAAAUUAAUAUUCAUA
rnacentral:lncRNA from 1 species